UACGUAGGGUGCAAGCGUUGUCCGGAAUUAUUGGGCGUAAAGAGCUCGUAGGCGGUUUGUCGCGUCUGCCGUGAAAGUCCGGGGCUCAACUCCGGAUCUGCGGUGGGUACGGGCAGACUAGAGUGAUGUAGGGGAGACUGGAAUACUUGGUGUAGCAGUGAAAUGCGUAGAUAUCAAGUGGAACACCAGUGGCGAAGGCGAGUCUCUGGACAUUUCCUGACGCUGAGGCACGAAAGCCAGGGGAGCAAACGGG
rnacentral:rRNA from 1 species